rnacentral:rRNA from 1 species
UUAAUAGUAAAAUCUGCUCAAUGAACAAUUCAAUAGCCGCAAUUUGUGCUAAGGUAGCAUAAUCAUUUGUCUUUUAAAUGGGGACUAGAACAAAAGAUUUAACAUCUCAAAUAAUAUUUUAUUUAAACAUUUAAAUCUAUUUUAAAAGUAAAAAAACUUUUAUAAAAGAAAAAGACGAUAAGACCCUAUUGAACUUAACUUUAGUUAAACUGGGGCAGUCAAUUAAUUAUUACUUUAAUUUAAUUACUUCUAUAAAAAGCCUUAUAAUUGAUAAAUCAGUUACCAUAGGGAUAACAGCGUAAUUUUAUUUUAAAGACCUUAUAAAAAAUAAAGAUUGCGACCUCGAUGUUGAAUUAGUAACCUAAUUAAAGCAAAAUUUAAAAUAGGAAGUCUGUUCGACUUUUAAAUAACUACAUGAUUUGAGUUCAGACCGGUAUAAGCCAGGUCGGCUUCCAUCUUUUAUAAAUAUUUCUGUAGUACGAAAGGACCUAGAAAUUCAAUUUUAUUUAUAAUAUUGGCAGAUUAAUGCAUUAGAAUUAGAAUCUAAUUAUCU